UGCUGAAGAAUAUAUGCCAAACAUCAAAACUUGACAGUACUUGUCACUGUCAAAAGAGACAUUUUUUGGGACUCUUUUGACUUGAGAGACCUCAAGUCAAUUGAAUUAACUUAAAAACAACUUGAAAGUAAAUGUGUUAUUUCCUGAGCCAUCUUUAAUAUUAUUCAUGAAUCUGCCAGGUCUGUUAGUAGGUGACACAUGAAGGCCCCAAAGGAUGCUUACCUGACAUACUGCUGGGGUUUAAGGUCUACGCUUCAUCCUCUGAGUAUCCACAGACAUGGGGAUACCGGUCUGUGGAGACGCGGGAGACGGGAAGGAUUCAACAAGGAAGGGAGCGGAAGGGAGCAAGAAGAGAUGUUCACUGCAACGAUCAUCUCUUUGUACACAGAGGGGCCUUCUGAGCUGUAGGAAAGAGAUCCAAAGCUGAUUCCCAUCAUGCCGCUGGCUCUCAAUCAACACUGGGGCUUGUACACUUUUACCAUGUGGCUUCCUUUGGUACUUUUUGUUCAAGAACAGACAACUUGAACAACAUAAACCAGACACCAUGAACGUGAAAAAGGCUUACUUACCAAUGCUGUACAUGGAAGACAAGAAAUCCAACUUUUGGAGCAGAACACAUUUUUUUGGGCGACGCCAAAAUGUUUUUUCCAUGUACUGUAUCUACAAUCUACUCUUUUUUACUCGAGUUUUUGUUUUUUAGACAACCCUUGGCACUGGCCAGCACGAGAAAAAAAGAGGGGGGAGUUUGUGGAUGAAGUUUUUUGUCUACUCAAAUCUAGAACAAUGUGUGUUUAAUAAGGAAAAUUGUGCAAUGCUAGCCUAAA